rnacentral:rRNA from 1 species
CCUACGGGAGGCAGCAGUGGGGGAUAUUGCACAAUGGGGGGAACCCUGAUGCAGCGACGCCGCGUGGGUGAAGGAGUGCUUCGGCAUGUAAAGCCCUAUCGGCAGGGAAGAAGCAAGACGGUACCUGACUCAGACGCCCCGGCUAACUACGUGCCAGCAGCCGCGGUAAUCCGUAGGGGGCGAGCGUUAUCCGGAUUCACUGGGUGGACAGGGAGCGUAGACGGCCAAGCAAGCCAGGGGUGAAAGCCCGGGGCCCAACCCCGGGACUGCCCUUGGAAUUGCAUGGCUGGAGUGCGGGAGGGGAGGGCGGAAUUCCUGGUGUAGCGGUGAAAUGCGUAGAUAUCAGGAGGAACACCGGCGGCGAAGGCGGCCUGCUGGACCGCGACUGACGUUGAGGCUCGAAAGCGUGGGGAGCGAACAGGAUUAGAUACCCGAGUAGUC